UACGUAGGUGGCAAGCGUUGUCCGGAUUUACUGGGCGUAAAGAGCGCGCAGGCGGUCGAUUAAGUCGAAUGUGAAAGCCCCCGGCUCAACUGGGGAGGGUCAUUCGAUACUGAUCGACUCGAAGGCAGGAGAGGGUAGUGGAAUUCCCGGUGUAGUGGUGAAAUGCGUAGAUAUCAAGUGGAACACCAGUGGCGAAGGCGAAUCCCUGGAAAAUACCUGACGCUGAGGCACGAAAGCUAGGGGAGCAAACAGG
rnacentral:rRNA from 1 species